rnacentral:tRNA from 1 species
UCCCGGGUAGCGCAGUGGUAGCGCAGAGCGCUGUUAACGCUUUGGUCGUCGGUUCGAAUCCGACCCCGGGAG